rnacentral:rRNA from 1 species
UUUGUCCUACGGGGCGCAGCAGUGGGGAAUAUUGCACAAUGGGGGAAACCCUGAUGCAGCGACGCCGCGUGAGUGAAGAAGUAUUUCGGUAUGUAAAGCUCUAUCAGCAGGGAAGAAGCAAGACGGUACCUGACUAAGAAGCCCCGGCUAACUACGUGCCAGCAGCCGCGGUAAUACGUAGGGGGCAAGCGUUAUCCGGAAUUACUGGGUGUAAAGGGAGCGUAGACGGUAAUGCAAGUCUGGAGUGAAAGGCGGGGGCCCAACCCCCGGACUGCUCUGGAAACUGUGUAACUGGAGUGCAGGAG